rnacentral:tRNA from 1 species
ACUUAAAUAGCUUAUAUUAGAGCAUAAUAUUGAAGAUAUUAAGGAAAUAGAUUUAUUUUUAAGUA